GGCCCAGAAACCCCGCCGCUACCCGCUGAACUUAAGCAUAUCAAUAAGCGGAGGAAAAGAAACCAACAGGGAUUGCCUCAGUAACGGCGAGUGAAGCGGCAAAAGCUCAAAUUUGAAAUCUAGCACUUUCAGUGUUCGAGUUGUAAUUUGAAGAAGGUAACUUUGGUUUUGGCUCUGUCUAUGUUCCUUGGAACAGGACGUCACAGAGGGUGAGAAUCCCGUGCGAUGAGAUGCCCAAUUCCAUGUAAAGUGCUUUCGAAGAGUCGAGUUGUUUGGGAAUGCAGCUCUAAGUGGGUGGUAAAUUCCAUCUAAAGCUAAAUAUUGGCGAGAGACCGAUAGCGAACAAGUACAGUGAUGGAAAGAUGAAAAGAACUUUGAAAAGAGAGUGAAAAAGUACGUGAAAUUGUUGAAAGGGAAGGGCUUGAGAUCAGACUUGGUAUUUUGCGUUCCCUUCCUUUUUGGUUGGGUUCCUCGCAGUUUACUGGGCCAGCAUCGGUUUGGAUGGUAGGAUAAUGACAUUGGAAUGUAGCUUUACUUCGGUGAAGUGUUAUAGACUUUGUUGAUACUGCCUAUCUAGACCGAGGACUGCGUCUU
rnacentral:rRNA from 1 species